rnacentral:rRNA from 1 species
UACGUAGGGAGCAAGCGUUGUUCGGAUUUACUGGGCGUAAAGGGCGCGUAGGCGGCAUAUUAAGUCAUCUGUGAAAUCUCCGAGCUUAACUCGGAACUGUCAGCUGAUACUGAUGUGCUAGAGUGCGGAAGGGGCAAUCGGAAUUCUUGGUGUAGCGGUGAAAUGCGUAGAUAUCAAGAGGAACACCAGUGGCGAAGGCGAGUCCCUGGACAACACCUGACACUGAGGCACGAAAGCUAGGGGAGCAAACAGG